AGCAGCCGCGGUAAUUCCAGCUCCAAUAGCGUAUAUUAAAGUUGUUGCAGUUAAAAAGCUCGUAGUUGAAUUUCGGGGUUAAUAAGUUGGUCAUACCUAUGGUAUGUACUGGCUUCAUUGAUUCCUACCUCUUGACGAACUGUGAUGCCAUUAAUUUGGUGUUGCAAGGAAUCAGGACUGUUACCUUGAAAAAAUUGAGUGUUUAAAGCAGGCUUACGCUUGAAUACAUUAGCAUGGAAUAAUGAAAUAGGACGUUUGAACCUAUUUGUGGUUUCUAGGAUCGACGUAAUGAUUAAUAGGGAUAGUUGGGGCAUUAGUAUUCAAUUGUCAGAGGUGAAAUUCUUAGGAUUUAUUGAAGACU
rnacentral:rRNA from 1 species